UCUUAUUGAACAAAGAAAGUGGUUUCUUGAGAUAGAAUCUACUCCUGGUGAAGAUGCUGUGAA
rnacentral:pre_miRNA from 2 species